UAAUCUGAGGGUCCAGGGUUCAA
rnacentral:piRNA from 4 species